CCCGGCGGGGAUGGGGGGAGCAGCGGAUAUUCCUGGAUAGGAACUACGAUCGCAAGAGUGCCAGAGGUUGUUUAAGAAGCAAAACUGUUGGUGGCAACCUGAGCGCUGGAAGCCGAAGGGAGGAAGAAGGAGACGCGAAGCCGGGGCGGCGGAGCAGGGCGGCCGGCACAAAGGAGGCGGACUCGCGGCGGCAGCGUAUGCCCGCGCCGGGGGAUGCACGGCCCGCGGCCCUGCUAGACCGAAGUCCCGCACUGGCAGCUACGAAUAAAGUUUACAUUCUCCUGAGACCGCACCCCCCACCUCCCACCCAGGACCGCGCUUCUCCGCGUCCUCCUCCCCCAAACUGCACUCGGGACCCCGAGCACCAUCCCAGCCUUCCAGCCAGCACAACAAAGAGACACACCGACCGGCGAGGGUAAACAGCCGCGGCAGGGCGAGCAGGGCGGGCAGAGCGAGCGCCUCGAGAUAAGCAACUCCCGAGUCUUCCCCGCUCGCCGGAACGUAGUUUCUCCUUUUCUGUUUCAACCGGCUUUACAUUUGGAAUCUUCAUCUUCUCCCGCACCCCUCACACCCAAGGAUUUUAAACUCACCUUUACUUUCGAACUGAGAGUUGCGGUGGAUGGGAUUUUUGCCUUCUCCAGAUGGUUGAAGGUUACGAUUUUUGUUUUUGGAAACCCUACCACCUCCUUAUUUCUAUUACUAUUUUUGCAAGAAAAGUAUAAAGAGAGUUGGAGUGGAGGUGAGAUUUGUGAUCGGGAAAGCCCUGGACUCCCUCCUUCUCCGUCUUCCGCCUCUCUCUUCUGAUUAGUUCCUAUCCAGCAGCAGAUUGAAGCAGGAGAUGAUUCUUCUCAAGCACCAAAGCACGAAGAAGUUCCAGGGGUCAGGGAUCAAACCCAUGCCACAGCAGUGACCCAAGCCACAGCAGUGACAACAUCAGAUCCUUAGCCCACUUGGGCCAUCAGGGAACACCCAAAACAUUGAAUUUUACCCUAAGUAGGAAACUGCUGUGUAGUUUUGAGCAAAGAAAUGACAUGGUCUGAUUUAACUUUUAAAAAGUUCUCUCUGGCUUCAGUUUUAGAAUAGUCUGUAGCUAAACAAAAUGGAAUUUAGACCAUAUAGGAAGCUGCUAAAAAAUUCCAAGCAAAGGAUGAUCAUACUAAGCUUAGAAAUGAGGGCAGAGAUUGAAGUAGUAGAAAGUGGUCAGAUUCUUUACAUUUGAAGGUAGAGGUAAAGGAUCUGUUAAUGGAGUUUGAUAUGUAAUAUAAGAAAAAGAUUGCCAGUGCAUGACUCCAGAGUUUCUGUCCUCAGAACUAAAAGCAAAAAGUUAGCAUUUAAUACAUAGACUGCAAAAGAGUUGCUUUGGGUGAGGGAGUUGGGGUUUGGUGUAAAUCAAUAGUUUGGUAUUUAUCAAGCUGAAGAUGCUAACUAAAUACCCAGGUGGCAAUGUUAAGCACAAAAAUGACUCUAUAAGUUUGGAGUUCAGGGAAAGGUCCAGGCUGGAGAUAUAAAUUUGGGAGUUACUUGCUUAUAGUAUUUAAAAUAUGAAAUGGUAGGACUCCCCUGGUAGCUCAGCAGGCUAAGGAUCCAGCAUUGCCCAGAAACUUCUGCAUGAUGUGGGCAUGGUCAAAAAAAAAAAAAAGACAUGGUGAGAUCAUCACCAUGCCCUCUAAUACUGUGGUAACUUAGAAGCUGGAGAUAUGAGGAAAAACCAGGAAAAUAAGGGAUGGCCACUAGUGAAGAGAGUGAAAAAACAAAGAGCAAUGUUUUAAAAAUCAAAUAAAAAACAUGUUCAAGAAGGA